AAAUUUUAGGUGCCUUGUUAGGCUUAAUAUGGAAACAGGUGAAAAUCCUGUACGGUCCCGCCGCUGUAAUGGGGAGAUUUUAUAAAGUAUACCACUUCACAUAAGAGGGAAGGUUUAUAGAAUUGAAGAACCAAAGUCAGAAGACUUACCUGUAAUUA
rnacentral:ncRNA from 1 species